CCUGACUGCUAUCGGAUUGAUACUAAGCCAUGCGAGUCAUUGUAGUAAUACAAGGCAGACGGCUCAGUAACGCGUAGUCAACCUACCCUAUGGACGGGGAUAACCUCGGGAAACUGAGAAUAAUACCCGAUAGAACAUUAUGCCUGGAAUGGUUUAUGUUUCAAAUAAUUUAUUGCCGUAGGAUGGGACUGCGGCCUAUCAGUUUGUUGGUGAGGUAAUGGCCCACCAAGACUAUUACAGGUACGGGCUCUGAGAGGAGUAGCCCGGAGAUGGGUACUGAGACACGGACCCAGGCCCUAUGGGGCGCAGCAGGCGAGGAAACUUUGCAAUGUGCGAAAGCACGACAAGGUUAAUCCGAGUGGUUUCUGCUAAAGGAACCUUUUGUCAGUCCUAGAAACACUGAUGAAUAAGGGGUGGGCAAGUUCUGGUGUCAGCCGCCGCGGUAAAACCAGCACCUCAAGUGGUCAGGAUGAUUAUUGGGCCUAAAGCAUCCGUAGCCUGCUUUGUUAGUUUUCGGUUAAAUCCAUACGCUCAACGUAUGGGCUGCCGGGAAUACUGCAAAGCUAGGGAGUGGGAGAGGUAGACGGUACUCGGUAGGAAGGGGUAAAAUCCUUUGAUCUAUUGAUGACCACCUGUGGCGAAGGCGGUCUACCAGAACACGUCCGACGGUGAGGGAUGAAAGCUGGGGGAGCAAACCGGAUUAGAUACCCGGGUAGUCCCAGCUGUAAACUAUGCAAACUCAGUGAUGCAUUGGCUUGAUGCCAAUGCAGUGCUGCAGGGAAGCCGUUAAGUUUGCCGCCCGGGAAGUACGUACGCAAGUAUGAAACUUAAAGGAAUUGGCGGGGGAGCACCACAAGGGGUGAAGCCUGCGGUUC
rnacentral:rRNA from 1 species